AAUUUUAUUUUUCCAUGAGGAAUAAGUCAUAUAAAUCAGUGCUUAAAAUUAAAAUUCUGCCAGUUCAGUGGUACUGUAACAACUGUUAUAAAUGCAAACAUCGACAGUGACCACAGUCCCAGUAUGUCGAUAUGAUGUCUGUCUAAGCAUACAGUGAUGUCUGUCACUAUAUAUAGUGAUAAAAACUGGAAAACAGAAAUUAGCCAUCAAUGUAUGCCACUAAUGUAUUCUUGAAAACUUGCUUGUUUGGCUGAUUAAGCAGCAGACACUUGGGCAGCCUGCAUAUGCUCAAUGAUACUGGUUUUCAUUUGUGAGGUCUCCUCGAAAGUCUCCCAGUACAAUAUAAUUUCUCCUUAACAUCAGUACACAUCUUCAGGACGCUUUUCAAAUUAGAUCUUCAUGCAGAUCUGACUCAUCAGAAGAUCCUAGAGCAGCAGCUCUAUAGGAUCUGUCAAGUGAUUGCUUAUGAACUGAAACGGCUGUCCCAUUUUGGCCAUAAACCUGAGAAGUUGAGGAGGGUUUGGUUAUUCUGUGAACAGUUUCAGCCUGCCUCUGGACACUUCCACAGGGAUGCAGGAAUGAAGUGUGGAGUGUUUCUGGUCCACAUGCCAAGGAUUUUUUAGCUUCUCCUUCUAACUUCAUAGAGUAGCUUAUCUUUUGCAAUUCAACAUUAUUAAAUUCUUGAUACAUUUUCAUUUUGUGGAGUUUAGAUUCGAGAAAUUUAACUUUCAGUUCCAUCUCACGCUUUACUGCAGCCACUUCUUUCUCUCUUAAUUCUUGUCUCUUAUCUCGUUGUGCUGCAUAGGCCUGCAAAAACAGAUUGAUUUUUUUGAAUUGUUCUGCAACAGUCUGUUCGGCUUUUGCUUUAAUCUCCCGUUUAUACUGGUCAGCUUGAUGACGGUCUACCAUAUUCCUUUCCAUGUAAUUUUUGAGGUCUACUAUUGCUUGCUUCAACCUCAUAUUCUUUGUCUGUAAUUUCUCAUAUCUUUCUUGGAUUAUUUCCUUAGGUAACGAUUCCGGCUGAACAACUUGAUUCUUUGCAUAUUGACGUCCACAUUUUGAACAUGGAAAUUCCAGUGCUUGUUUUUGUUGAUCAAUUUGACUUUUGAUUUGAUCUAUUUUCUUCUUUGAACCUGUCCCAUCUUCUAAAUUAACGUGACACGGUGAAACCUCUACAAAAGCCUCUGGCCUUGGUUGUUUUUUCAAGGUAGUAGCCAGUUCUUGUAGAUGUCUCACAAGUACUGUUCUUUCUGCAGACUCUUUUUCCAAAUGACACAUUGUUUCUUUUAAACGAUCACAUUCAUUGGUGAGCUCCUGAAGUUUUCCUUCUAGAAGCAGACUUUGCUUGUCACUGCCAGCUUGACUUUGUUUCACAAUAUCCUGAAGCUGGUCCUGGAUAUUGGUUACUGUCUCGUCUUUCUGGGCAGCUUUGUUGUGAGCAGCAUGUAGUUGCUGUUGAAGCAACAUAUUUUCUCUUUGUAGUUCACAGAAUCUCUGCUCUAGAGAUUCCUGUUUGCCCAUGUGUGGAUUCACUUUGCUUUGGUCACUGCCAUACGUUUGUUCUAUUUCCUUCGUGUGGCGCUGUGUUUGCCUUAGGUCUCUUUGUACAACUUCUAAAAACAACGUUUUUUCUCGGAGGAGCUCUCUUGUGUGAUGGAGCUCCGUUUCCAGGCUAUCAAUCUUACUUUCUGCUUUAGAAAGUUUUUCAGAAAGAAUCUCAUUGUUUUCUUUUAGAUUCGACAUGUAAAAAUUCAUUUUGUCUUGUAAGUGAUCCCACUCAUCUCUUGCUGUGUAGAAUGCAAGCUCUAGGUGUUUUCUUGAUGUCUCACUUUCAUCAAAAUCACGUGUAGCGGCAGUCAGUCUGGAAUGGCAAGAGGCAAGUUCUUCUUCCAGUCUUUCCUCGUUUUGUGUUUCACUCUCCAGUUUACACUUUAGCAUUGCAUUCUCAGCUGUGAGAACACAAAGCCGCUCACCAUACUGAGACACAGUUUUAGUUAAUGUUUCCAAAUUCCGCAAUAGAGUCAUGUAAACGUCAUCAUACUUUUCUUUCGUAAUUUCCGUGUCCUUUGGAUAUUUCUUUUCAUUUUCUUCAUUCUGACUUUUAAUUUUGUCUGUCUCCAUUCUCACCAUGGCAAGUUCCUCCUGCAACAUGCGAUUCUUAUGGAGUAGAUCUUUUUCUCUUUCUUGGCUAUGAGAAAUCUCUUUUUCAAGCAGACCUUUUUCUUUCUCCACAGACAGUAAUUCUACUUGUAACAUGUCUACCUCAUUCUUAAACUUUUGCGUAUCUUGCCGUAAUUCUUCUUUUAGAUAUACUUUUGAUGCUCUGUCACUAUGUGGUGAAGAACUCAAAUUUUCAUGAUAUGAACCUUCUAUUUGUCCAUUUACUGUAUUUCUUCCUUUUUUAUCUACAGCCCUAGAUGAAGGACCAACAUCCUUCUGUAGAGGACUCUUUGAGAUACUCUCACAAGCCGAGUCCAAAGGCACUUCUACAACUUCAUUUUCUCCAGAUACUAAUGCGGACAUCUUAUCACUUCUGUUACUACGGCACACAGCAGUAAAACUGCCAUUAGCAUUUUGCACUUGAGGAGCAUUUUCAAUAAUGCUGAUACCAUUUUCCAUUUUUGUAGUUGAUGGAUUUGCUGUUCCCUCCUUGGUAUCAACAUCGAGGUGUUCAGAAAAUGAGUCAGUAUCUGGUUUUCCAUAAAUACCCGGUUUGAUGGAAAUCCUGAACACGGGGUCUUCAGUAAUCUCAUCCACUACUGGAUUGCUAAUUUGAGAAGGAUUUUCCAGAAUCUUUUCUUCUUUAUCUUGUGAAAUUUGUUGGGGAAUUCUAUUUCUAUUAAAACCACUAGCAAAAGUGUCGUCUAGAUUCCAUCCUAAGGCCAUCCUAUCAACAUGGUCCUGAAGAAGACUGAGUACACGUGAUGACUGAGAUUCUUUUGCCAGCAUGAAAGCAUUUCUUUUCCACUUAUCAACUGCAUUUAUGUUUGCUCCAAACGCUAGUAAAAACUUCACCAUUUCCUCUUCUUUUCGACUUACAGCAAGUAAAAGUGGUGUGAGGUGACUCUUGUUUUGGCGAUCAAUAAAUGCACCACGUGAGAGCAGUUGUUUUGCUAUUGAUACAUUCUGGUGAGAAACAGCAUAGUGAAGAGCAGUGUUGCCAUAGGUAUCCUGAAGAUCUACCUCAGCCACAGCCUCCAGCAGUGCGGUUACACACUCCUCCUCCUGGCACUGGACGGCCUUCAUCAGAGCUGUCCUGUUUUUGUUGUCAGACAAGUUAAGUUUGCACUUUCUCUUGAUGAGGAGUCUCACCACUUCUUCCCCGCCCAUGGCACAGGCAAAAUGUAGAGCAGUCCUCCUGAAGAUGAAACGAGUCCUCAGAGGACAGACGGUCAGGGUGCAGAGGAACACCUGAGGGAUGCAAUAAUUAAACCAGGCUUCGGUUUUCCUUAUGAAAGCUGCAUUGGAUUAAGCCUCAGCACUUGCAGAUCACAGAACAAUUUCAGAUGAGCAGACUGUUUCCCCUCGAACUCCUGCACAGAAUCUUCAAGAGUUAAAAAGGCAGAACUACUUGGGAAUUUUGUUUCAGAAAUUUGCGGAGGCAUGGUGUCAUUUUGCCUGGACACGUCUUUCGUUUCAGUUUUUCAGAUGGACUCUCAGCUGUAUUUCUUUGAGGCGGUGCAGACUGGUCUUUCAAGGGGAGAGUUAUCAGGCAACAGUCAUCUCCAGCACUCAUGAUCUCCUCCAGGGACCAUCUGACGGUGCGCCGCCUCCUGCCGGUGCGCGCAGGGGAGCGUCCAGGGCGGUCCCGCCCGCUGCCGCAGCGCCACCGCCGUGUGCUCCUCUCCGAGUGCUGCCGCUCCAGCCGCCCGAGGGGCCGCCACGUCUUCGUCUCUGCAGCCCGCCAAGGCCGCCACGGACGCCGCCGACGCCUACUCUUCCCUGUCGGCGCAGCGGGGUCCGCGCCGUGGAGCCUCCACGCUAGUCCUGCCCGCCCGCUCAGUCACCUGACCCAGCGGCCUCUAUGAGGCACUUUUAAAACUCUCUGGUGAAUGAAUGGACACUUGUGUGCCUGCCCUCUGGGAGCCUGCAUUACUUGGAGAAAUAUGCAGAAAGAUGUGAAGGGCUAAUUGCUGUAAAUUAGAAUAUAAACAUAAAGAGAAUUUAGAAAAGCAAACCAUAGGAGGGGAAGGCUUUUGAGGGCAUUGGGUUUGAGCAAAGCCCUGAAGAAUAAUUUGCAUACGAGGAAAGCAGGGAGGAUAUUUCUGUAGCGGAAAUGGGGUGAGCCCAGGACACCUGGUGGACAUGAGAGUUUGUGUUUCAUAUGGGGAAGAAAGAGAUGUACUGGGUGGAGUAACUCCAUAUUGCAGAGGGCUGUAGAAGCCAGCCGGGCAGGCGGAAGAGUGGCUACUAGCGUGGGAGGCCAGAGGAAAUUAUAACAGGUUCUGGACUAGAAACAUAACCAUCUACCCCAGACAGAGAGAAACGUCCCUAUUCAGCUAAAUACCAGGAGCCUCCUGGUUCAACAGAGCACAGGAAUUUGACCUGGGGGGUGGGAAGACGACAGAGGAAAGCAGAGGACUAACUCAUCAGAAGGUGCCCAGAAGAACCUUGUGUAAAAACUGUUCAGCUCACUUCCAGUUGUGUUUAAAAUCACUAGUGCACUAAAAGAGGUUAUCCCCCUUCAAGCAGUGCUCUGUGUAAGGGGCAGAAGCAUUGAUAACUUGCAAAGCGGUUUGCUGGGGCCAAGCCAACCUCUGGCCUAGGAGGCAAGAGCCCUGCAUUUUUAGCCUUGGCUCUGCCCCUAAACAGGGUGACCUUGAGAAGUAUGCCUAACCUCUUCUCUGAAUUUCAGGGUCACCGCUUCUGUAAAGUACACCUCUAAGGACCUUUCUUCUUAUUCUAUUUCUUAGAGAAAAGGUCAUCUGAUUGUUAUCAGAAAUAAUUCAGUGAUAUUUGGAUUUUUAAAAAUUGAUCCAGACUGCAGGCUAGAUAUGGGAAUGGAAGUUUUCUCAACUUUUGCCUCUACUAAGCACUGGAAGAAUAGAGGGUAGGGAAGGGGACUGAGUUUGCCUGUCACCCCUUUCCCUCUAGGUGGUAGUGAGUGUAAUGGUUAAAACACAGGCUCUGGAAUAGACUGCCUUGGAUUCAAAUUCAGUUCCACGACUGAUUUCAGAAUGUGACCUGUCUGAACCUCAGUAUCUUCAUCUAUAAAAUGGAAGUAAUAAGAACUACAUCACCAGGUUGUUGGAAGAUUACAUAAAGGACACUGGGCACAUAUCAAGGCUUAGUGAAUAAAGGGUAGCCAAUAAAAUUUGCAGAGUCAUUGAGGGAAAAUAUAGUUUCACAGAGCUUCUGUGUCUAGAUUUCAACGAUUUUCUUUCAUCGUUAUUUCUUGGAGCUCUCAGGACCAUAUGUGGCUUACAAACCACAAGCUACGAUGUGUUUAACUUUAAAAAAGCAGGCAGUGUUUUUCUCCGAAGUGUGGCACCACUAUGGUGUUCAGUUACAGCCAAAGGGGGAGGCUGGUGGGCAGUCAUGGAAGUGCAUCUUCUAAGGCAGGAAGGGACCAACAGUUCUUGGAGAUUUCCACUCUUCUACCCCAUUUCCAUGUCAGCACAGCACACAUUUAGGGGAGUUUCCCUUCAGCUUUUCCUCCUGAUUUUGUCUCCUCUAUCCCUUUCCCUCUUCUUCCUCCCUAAAGUGGGUUGGAUGGUCUGGCAUGUGGGUGGAGAAGACGAUGAGCUGGAGACAUCUCUGCCUUUCAUCCAGCUGAGUGAAAAUGCCUCUGAACACGCUAGGACUGCAUGGACUGUAAAUUACAAGGUCAGGCUUUGUUAGCCUGCAGCCCUCUGGUUUUCCGCAGGUCAGUUAGAAUGCCUAAGUAGAAAGCCCCUGUUAAUGUCGAUUGACUCUGCUCUGGGUUAACAAGGCCCUUAGAAAGCCAAGGCAUGAGCCUGACUGCCCUGCACACUGAGUGGUGUCAGGCAUGGCGCCAUCCUUUAUGGUUUGGCUUUGGAGAGCUAGGACCACCCCUUCCAGCCUAAGGAGUUCACAUUUCUGGGAGCUCCCCAACUCCAAGUGCUACAGUCCCAUGCAGGAGGGGAAAGACCCAGCAGGGGCACCUCUUGGCUAACGGAUGGAUAUGUGACAUUUUGAUGUGGAGGCAUUUUGAUACUGCUUUAAAAAUAAGCAGCUUUCCACUGGUUUUUGCAGUCCUAAGAUAUGUGCUCAGUAGCAUCUGUGGUCUUCUGAGGUGAGCUUGAGGGGUGGAUAAGACCAAGGGAUGACUUGAGAGUGGAGGUAAGGAAGGCCUCAUGUUCAUGUCACUUGUGAACAUAAAACAGCUUUACAUUUUAAUGCCACUUUGUUAAAUUGACUAUAUGCUAUAAACCGACCUUCAACCUCUUUUAAACUGUGAUUAACAUAUCCAUAUCCUGGGGUGAUAUCAAGUGAUAAUGCCCAUGAAAGUAUUUUUUAAACUACAAGGUGCUAAAUAAUUAUUUACUUAUAUCCCUCCCUGUGGGGCACAGUUGGGUGCUAUAUACAAAGCGAAGUCUCAACAAUAAUCAUGAUGAUUACAAUGGGCAUAAAGUAAGGUCUUCAUAAAAAAAUAUUAAAAUGAAUAGCUAGCUUUUAUUAGGUCUUUAUCAUGUGCAUUCACUGUACUAAGCACUCUGAAUAUAUUGUCUUUUAAACUUCACAACAACGCUGUGAAAGACUUUGUGAUCCUGUCCCCAUUUUAAAGGUAGAAAACAGAAGCACAGAGCAGUUAAGUAACCUGCCCUAGAUCCCACAGCUGAUAAGUGAUAGAGCCAGGAUUUGAACCCAGGUGGACUGACUCCAGACCCCGUGCUGUUAACCACCAUUUAGCUGCUUACAACCCUAGCAGGCCCAGCCAGUGCCGGAACCGGGAAAGGAUGGUCUCUAGGGGGCUGUGAGGAUGGAGAAAUCUUCACACCCAGAGCUGGAAUGAAAAUCAAACAGCUCGGUCAAGGGUACCUUAUCAUCAAUUACUGAAACUCAUUCAUUGUCAAGUGAAUAAAUUAGACAAAAUUUCA